GAUGAACGCUGGCGGCGUGCCUAAUACAUGCAAGUCGAGCGGACGGACGAGAAGCUUGCUUCUCUGAUGUUAGCGGCGGACGGGUGAGUAACACGUGGAUAACCUACCUAUAAGACUGGGCUAGCUUAGGGAAACCGGAGCUAAUACCGGCUGAUAUUUUGAACCGCAUGGUUCAAGAGUGAAAGACGGUCUUGCUGUCACUUAUAGAUGGAUCCGCGCUGCAUUAGCUAGUUGGUAAGGUAACGGCUUACCAAGGCAACGAUGCAUAGCCGACCUGAGAGGGUGAUGGGCCACUGUGGAACUGAGACACGGUCCAGACUCCUACGUGAGGCACCGGUAGGUACGCUUCGGCAAUGGGCGAAAGCCUGAAGGAGCAACGCCGGGUGAGUGAAGAAGGUCUUCGGAGCGGAUAACUCUGUUAGUGGGGAAGAACACAUUUGUAAGGAACGGUGCACAUCUUGACGGUACCUAAUGAGAAAGCCACGGCUAACUACGUG
rnacentral:rRNA from 1 species